rnacentral:rRNA from 1 species
AUUGAACGCUGGCGGCAGGCCUAACACAUGCAAGUCGAGCGGAAACGAAGAGGUGCUUGCACCUCUGACGUCGAGCGGCGGACGGGUGAGUAAUGCUUGGGAAUAUGCCUUAUGGUGGGGGACAACAGUUGGAAACGACUGCUAAUACCGCAUGAUGUCUACGGACCAAAGUGGGGGACCUUCGGGCCUCACGCCAUAAGAUUAGCCCAAGUGGGAUUAGCUAGUUGGUGAGGUAAUGGCUCACCAAGGCGGCGAUCCCUAGCUGGUUUGAGAGGAUGAUCAGCCACACUGGGACUGAGACACGGCCCAGACUCCUACGGGAGGCAGCAGUGGGGAAUAUUGCACAAUGGGCGCAAGCCUGAUGCAGCCAUGCCGCGUGUGUGAAGAAGGCCUUCGGGUUGUAAAGCACUUUCAGUAAGGAGGAAAGGUUAAGUGUUAAUAGCGCUUAGCUGUGACGUUACUUACAGAAGAAGCACCGGCUAACUCCGUGCCAGCAGCCGCGGUAAUACGGAGGGUGCGAGCGUUAAUCGGAAUUACUGGGCGUAAAGCGUACGCAGGCGGUUUGUUAAGCGAGAUGUGAAAGCCCCGGGCUCAACCUGGGAACUGCAUUUCGAACUGGCAAACUAGAGUGUGAUAGAGGGCGGUAGAAUUUCAGGUGUAGCGGUGAAAUGCGUAGAGAUCUGAAGGAAUACCGAUGGCGAAGGCAGCCACCUGGGUCAACACUGACGCUCAUGUACGAAAGCGUGGGGAGCAAACAGG